rnacentral:rRNA from 1 species
UACGGGGGGGGGCAAGCGUUGUUCGGAAUUACUGGGCGUAAAGGGCUCGUAGGUGGCCAACUAAGUCAGACGUGAAAUCCCUCGGCUUAACCGGGGGAACUGCGUCUGAUACUGGAUGGCUUGAGUUUGGGAGAGGGACGCGGGAAUUCCAGGUGUAGCGGUGAAAUGCGUAGAUAUCGGGAAGAACACCCGUGGCGAAGGCGGCUCUCUGGGACGGUACUGACGCUGAGACGCGAAAGCGUGGGGAGCGAACGAGG